rnacentral:rRNA from 1 species
UACAGAGGUCUCAAGCGUUGUUCGGAUUCAUUGGGCGUAAAGGGUGCGUAGGCGGCGCGGUAAGUCGGGUGUGAAAUCUCGGAGCUUAACUCCGAAACUGCAUUCGAUACUGCCGUGCUUAAGGACUGGAGAGGAGACUGGAAUUUACGGUGUAGCGGUGAAAUGCGUAGAUAUCGUAAGGAAGACCAGUGGCGAAGGCGAGUCUCUGGACAUUUCCUGACGCUGGAGGCGCGAAAGCGUGGGGAGCAAACAGG